rnacentral:lncRNA from 1 species
AUCUAACCCUAUAAUAAAACACAUUUACACCUUUCAUGGUUGUAUAAAACAUUAUAUAAUAAAAAUGUAUAAUAUUGAUCUAUCAUAUUGCAGGAGUAGCAGAGGUCAGUGGCAAAGAGAGUCUUAAUACAAUGAGGAAAAUUAUUGAGGACCAUGUACAUGAGUCAAAGGCCACUAUGUUUGACUUGGCCAAGAAGAAGAUGUUGACCAAACUGAGAAAGCUGAUGGUUUGUUUAUUACACAAAUUGUGGAGUUAUUGUGAAGUAGUGUCAUGAGAAAAAUACACAAAGUAAUAUUUGUCCAUGUGAGUAAUGAGUAAUGGAGGUUUUUUGAUGCUGAAAUAGAGGGACAUCUUGAAAACACUGACGUACACUAUGCAGAGAUCCAUAGAGCUGUCACUGAAGAUGAAUGACAACUCAAUCCCAGAUGUUUCAGCUGAACAUUCUAAAGUGGAGAGUUACUACAAAGAGCUGAAAGGCCCAGAUGAAGAGACUUCCUUACUCUGGCCUGACAUGUUGGAUGACUGAUUGGAUUCACCUGGUCCAGCUUCAGCAGAGAGGCCAAACUUCAGACUUCAUUGAAACUAACCAUGUCUGACAUUUCCUGUUUUGUAGAAUUGUCUUAUCUCCUGUGGUUUAUGAUCCAAUGUGGGCAUGUGUAUUCAAAAGUGUAGCUAAGGUAAAACCUAAAUCCUAUGAUCAUAAAUCUGCCAGUUUAGUAUGUUGACCAAGAUGUGCUAUCACAAGAACUUUACCACUCACUAGUGAAAUAAAGAAAUCUAGUGAAACAAAGGAAUUAUCUUAAAACAUUAACUACGACUAACUAAUAUAUGAUUAAACUAAGUAAAAUAAUAUGAAGUAUCUUUUAAGAUGAUUACAUUUUGAUUAAAUGUUAAUUAAAUGUUAAUUAAAUAUUGAUUAAUUCUCACAUGAUUUACAUCUAUUUUUGGGUCUAGCAAAAGCAGUAUUACUGUGAAGCAUUUUAAAAACAUACAGU